rnacentral:rRNA from 1 species
AGUGGAUGGGGAGCAACCUAGUUGUGCGUGUGUAAAGGUAGUGCCAAGAAAAGCGAUGAUCAUGUUGAAAAUCAAUUCCCGGUACCCGAAACCGACACAGGUGGGCAAGUAGAGAAUACUAAGGGGCGCGAGGUAACUCUCUCCAAGGAACUCGGCAAAAUGACCCCGUAACUUAGGGAGAAGGGGUGCCACCGAGAGGUGGUCGCAGUGAAGAGGCCCAGGCGACUGUUUAGCAAAAACACAGGUCUCUGCAAACUCGAAAGAGGAGGUAUAGGGGCUGACGCCUGCCCAGUGCCGGAAGGUUAAAGAAGUUGGUCAGUUUUAGGAUGAAGCUAGCGACUGAAGCCCCGGUGAACGGCGGCCGUAACUAUAACGGUCCUAAGGUAGCGAAAUUCCUUGUCGGGUAAGUUCCGACCCGCACGAAAGGCGUAACGAUCUGGGCGCUGUCUCGGAGAGAGGCUCGGCGAAAUAGGAUUGUCUGUGAAGAUACGGACUACCUGCAUUUGGACAGAAAGACCCUAUGAAGCUUUACUAUAGCUUGGAAUUGUGUUCGGGCUUCCUGUGCGCAGGAUAGGUGGGAGGCGAAGAAGGUAUUCUUGUGAGGAUACUGGAGCCAACGGUGAGAUACCACUCUCAGGAGGCUAGAAUUCUAACUUAAUUAAGGACAGUUUCAGGUGGGUAGUUUGACUGGGGCGGUCGCCUCCAAAAAGGUAACGGAGGCGUACAAAGGUUCCCUCAGACUGGUUGGAAAUCAGUCGCAGAGUGCAAAGGCAGAAGGGAGCUUGACUGCGAGAAGUACAGUUCGAGCAGGGUGGAAACACGGUCUUAGUGAUCCGACGGUGCUGUGUGGAAGGGCCGUCGUUCAACGGAUAAAAGUUACUCUAGGAUAACAGGCUGAUCUCCCCCAAGAGUUCACAUCGACGGGGAGGUUUGGCACCUCGAUGUCGGCUCAUCGCAACCUGGGGCGGAAGUACGUCCCAAGGGUUGGGCUGUUCGCCCAUUAAAGCGGUACGUGAGCUGGGUUCAGAACGUCGUGAGACAGUUCGGUCCAUAUCCGAUGUAGGCGUGAGAAUAUUGAGAGGAGCCUUCCUUAGUACGAGAGGACCGGGAAGGACGCACCGCUGGUGUACCUGUUAUGAUGCCAAUUGUAAACGCAGGGUAGCCAAGUGCGGAGAGGAUAACCGCUGAAAGCAUCUAAGUGGGAAGCCCACCUCAAGAUGAGUAUUCUGGUGUAAGGUCACGGGAAGACGACCCGUAAAUAGGCACGAGGUGGAAGCGCAGAGAUGUAUGAAGCCGAAGUGUACUAAUAGACCGUCGGCUUGACC